AAUGUAAGCUGUUGGCAUCUUUUAUGACAUUAAUUAAAUGAAGAUACAGUGUUUUGAUGUUACGGAACACUACCCCUAUGGUAAUCAAAAUAUUUCCAGGACAUUUAAAAACACCAAACACUACAGAAUGAAUCGUCAGUUUAGUUUGUUUUGAAUUUGAGAAGGAGUUACAUUUUUUUUAACUAAAUAAAACACUAUUUAAGGGGGAAACGAAGAAAAUGGGAUUCAUACUAAAGCUGUUUGGUUCUCUGCUACUGCUACAGAUUUUUAUGUUUUGCACAAACACCGUUGAAGGUAUAAACGUUUAGUUGCUUCAAGAUAUUUCCUCACGAUUGAUAUAUCUACAAAUGGACGUACAGGCUAUAGACUGAGUUUACAAGACAUUAAGAGCAUUCUUUGUGACGCAACACGAAAGACUGUUGAAUGUUUUCUCAACUUUAAGGUUGUCGGUGAACCAAAAUGUUGGUCGGUAAGUAAAUAACUUAUCU